AUACGGGGGGUGCAAGCGUUAAUCGGAAUUACUGGGCGUAAAGCGCGCGUAGGCGGUUUGCUCAGUCGGAUGUGAAAGCCCAGGGCUCAACCUUGGAACUGCAUACGAUACUGGCAAACUAGAGUGUGAGAGAGGAUAGUGGAAUUUCCGGUGUAGCGGUGAAACGCGUAGAUAUCGGAAGGAACAUCAGUGGCGAAGGCGACUGUCUGGCUCAACACUGACGCUGAGGUGCGAAAGCGUGGGUAGCAAACAGGAUUAGAAACCCUAGUAGUCC
rnacentral:rRNA from 1 species